AAUGAGGGAAACCUUGAUGCAGCCAUGCCGCGUGUGUGAAGAAGGCCCGAGGGUUGUAAAGCACUUUCAAUUGUGAGGAAAGGUUAGUCGCUAAUAUCGGCUAGCUGUGACGUUAACUUUAGAAGAAGCACCGGCUAACUCUGUGCCAGCAGCCGCGGUAAUACAGAGGGUGCAAGCGUUAUUCGGAAUUACUGGGCGUAAAGCGCGCGUAGGCGGACUGUUAAGUCGGUUGUGAAAGCCCUGGGCUCAACCUAGGAACUGCAUCCGAUACUGGCAAUCUAGAGUUUAGGAGAGGGAAGUGGAAUUCCUGGUGUAGCAGUGAAAUGCGUAGAUAUCAGGAGGAACAUCAGUGGCGAAGGCGACUUCCUGGCCUAAAACUGACGCUGAGGUGCGAAAGCGUGGGUAGCGAACGGGAUU
rnacentral:rRNA from 1 species